rnacentral:lncRNA from 1 species
GAGGUUCGGCGCGUGGAUCUCGCGUGAAGCCGAGGAUUCGGUGGACGCUUCGAGGAGUUGAGGCGUUGACGCUGCGAGGAGUUGCAGCAAGGUCGAUUGGUGGAUUCCUAUCGAUCGAGGACCGGCAAAGAUCACCGUCAACGAGAAAUCGGUAAAUUGAGUCGUGUGUUUUUGUCGAAAUCACUUGUACUCAAGUUUUCUUAGUGGAUUUUCUUUGCGUGAUCGGUCCCGUGGGUUUUUCACUCCGAAUUGGAGUUUUCCCACGUUAAAUUCUCGGUGUGCUGUUUUAAUUUCCGCUAUUUUGUUUUGUUUGCAUCGAGAUUUUUCGAGUUUGCCGGAUUUACACCUAUUCACCCCCCUCUAGGUGUUACUUACCUUUUAGAUCCUCGGGAUCCAUAUCUCACAAGUGGUAUCAGAGCGGGUAUAGGUUGUAAUUCAUGGCUGAGGGCGGUAACAUCAAUCGACCCCCGCUCUUCGAUGGCACUAACUAUGCUUAUUGGAAAGUCCGUAUGAGGGCGUUUCUUAUUGCUAUCGACGAGCGGGUUUGGCAAGCCAUUGAAUUCGGAUGGAAAAAUCCUACCGAAGUUGUCGAGAAUGUUACCGUGCCGAAACCUAGGAAUAAAUGGACGAAAGAGGAAAAUGAACUAUCUUCGUUCAACGGGAAAGGUAUCAAUGCUUUAUUCAAUGCUUUAAACCAAACUGAAUUUUCUCGCGUCUCGGCGUGCGAAACCGCCAAAGAGAUUUGGGACACUUUGCGAGUUACACACGAGGGUACAAGUUUGGUUAAGAUUCAAAAAUUGCAAAUGCUUACUAGUAGAUUUGAUUCCAUUCGUAUGGAAGAACAUGAAUCUUUUACCGAGUACUAUACUCGUUUGCAAGACAUUGUAAACACGUGUGCUAACUUGGGCGAGAAAAUUCCCGAUUCCAAAAUUGUUCGAAAAAUUUUGAGAACCCUUCCCGAACGAUUCCGUCCUAAGGUUGCGGCUAUCGAAACGGUUAAACAUCCUGAUGAACUCAAGGUAGAAGAACUAGUAGGUGCUCUUCAAACUUAUGAAAUGACUUUUCCAUCUAAUUCAUCUUCUUCCAAGUCUUUCUCUAAAGCCUCAGGGAUGGCUCUAAAAUCAACAAAAGGAGAUGUUUCUUCAACCUCAUCAGAUUCAGAGUCGGAGCAAAGCUUGGAGGACUUUGAAAAACAACUUGCACUUCUAACAAAGAAGUUUCGUCGGAACUUUAGAAAGAAGUUUCCUCCCAAGUCUACUUCAUCCAAGACAAACAAAUCUAAAGGGGGUUCGUCUUCUUCUUCCUCGUCAAAAUACAGAAAAUCUGAUAACUCUCAAAAGGACUCUACAAAAGAGAAGAAAAGCAGUGAAGGUCAAAUUCAAUGCUACAAGUGUAGGGGCUUUGGCCAUAUAGCAUCUGACUGUCCUAAUACAAAGUCAUUGAAGAAGAAAGCUAUGCAAGCAGUGACUUGGGACGACUCCUCAUCUGACGAUUCUACUUCGAGUGAAGAGGAUGUGAAUGCCACAGCUCUAAUUGCACACGAUUCAACUUUCAUGUGUUUAGCAUCUGCUGACUUGACCUCUACUACAUCUAUACAAGAGAAAUCAUCUUCGGAGGACUCAUCGGAUGGAGAAUCGGACGAAGAUGACAUGGUAGCAGCAUAUCAACAAUUGGUUGUUGAAUCGAAGAAGAUGGCUAAACAUAACAAGAGACUGCGGCGAAGUCUGCAUGAGUUGGAACAAGAAAAUUCAAAAUUGGUCUCGUUAACAAAGGAUCUAGAGCAAGAAAGAGACGGGUUGACCAAGGCUUACAACUCUUUGCUUGAGAAGUGUUCGUUACUUGAAAAAGAAAAGGAGACUGAAGUGGAGAACAUCAAUUAUCUUACUAAGCAAAAUUCAGAAGUUAGAGAAGCAAAUAUGGAAUUCACCAAGAUGAUCAUUCAACUGAAGUCGGAUUUGAACCAAUUUUCAUCUGGCUCGAGCAAACUAGACAAGAUGCUUGGACUUGGUCAAACAAAUAAACUUGGACUUGGUUAUGAACGGACCUAUGUUGACCAAGCAACAAAGAAAGAUGGCGGACAUUCAUCAACUGCCGUUCCUAAGCUCUAUGGUAAAUUCGUCCCUCCUCAAAAUAAUCUGACUAACAAAGCUUGUCAUAUUUGUGGUGCUUUAGGACACAUAAAGAAGUUCUGCAAACAAAAGGGAAAGAGCUCAUCAACACCCUUGAAUCACAGAACAUUACUUUCGAAGAAUGACUUUAAAUCAAGAGGGAAGUCAACUUGGACUCCAAAGAAGGUUGAUGCUAAGAAGAGACAAAUAUGGACACCAAACACUCCGGGGUCAAAGGCAAAACACGCAUGGAAAUCAAAGAAGGAGGAUGUGAAGAAGAAUUCAAUUCAAAUCGUCGACAAGCCACGAUCAACAAGAGCAAGCAAACUCACACAGCCCAAAACACGUAAGGUUUGGGUGCGCAAAGGUGAACUCUUCCCAUGCCUAGUUAUUCACACUUCGCUUCAUGCUUACGAUAACUCAUCAUGGUAUCUGGAUAGCGGUUGUUCCCGUCAUAUGACCGGAGAUAAAAAUUGGUUUACUUCCUUGACCAAAAUCUCCAGAGGACUUGUUGUUUUUGGGGACGGUCGAUCGUCAAAAAUUAUUGGAAAAGGAACAGUGACUAUCUCAGAUGGCCCUACAUUGAACGAUGUUUUUUAUGUUGAGGGGCUCAAAUCUAAUCUCGUAAGCAUAAGCCAACUGUGUGAUGAUGGGUAUUCUGUGAAUUUUUCGGGUAAAGAAUGCCAUGUGACUCGUGAUGACAAUCUGUUCUUAAAGGGCAUUAGAUCUAUGAAUAAUUGUUAUGUAGUUCCUAGUUCGGCCACUGAACAUUAUAACCUAGCGUCAUUAGAAACUGAAACUUUAUGGCAUGAACGACUAGGCCACAUCAACUUUAAGGAGCUAUCUAAGAUAACCAAGAAGGAGGUAGUUAGAGGUGUACCUAAGAUUGAUUUUAAAGAGAACACUGUGUGUGGGGGUUGCCAAUUAGGGAAACAAACUAGAUCCACACAUAAGAACUUGAACCACUUAGGGACAACUAAACCUCUAGAGUUACUUCACAUGGACUUGAUGGGACUAUCUAGGAUUCAAAGUUUGGGUGAAAACGUUAUAUUUUGCUUAUUGUUGAUGAUUUUACUCACUAUGUAUGGAGUGCUUUCUUACGAGAAAAAGCUGAUACUUUUAAUUNUUUUGUGUUUCAAAUGGUAUAAAACAUGAAUUCUCGGCUCCUUAUACACCCGAACAAAAUGGAGUGUAGAACACAAAAAUCGGGUUGUACAAGAAAUGGCACGUGUUAUGCUUCAUAGUAAGAAAAUUGCUUUACAUUUUUGGGCCGAAACAGUUAACACGACCGUCUAUGUUAUCAAUCGGAUUUAUGUGCGUCCGGGUACCUUGAAUACUCCGUAUGAACUUUGGCUUGGUAGGAAACCUAAUAUUAAAUACUUUCGUGUCUUAGGGAGUAAAUGUUUUAUCCUUCAGGAUCGUGAAAAUCUUGAAAAAUUUGACUCUCGAAGUGACGAGGGGAUCUUUCUUGGUUAUUCUACUACAAGUUGUGCUUAUCGUGCGUACAAUUUACGAUCUAAGACGGUGAUAGAAUCUAUCAAUAUAAAAGUAGAUGAAGUUUCGUCUGCAAGUUCUUCUGUGAAUGGUUCUUCUAAUUCUUUGGUGAAUGAUGAUGAUAAUGACUCUCCAUUUGUAUUGCCUGUGAAUGAUGAUGUUUCUGCUUUUGAUAAUUCCAUUGCAUCUUCUGAAAAUAUUGCAUCAAAUGAGUCAUCUGAGCCUCAAAGUAUCUCAUCUGAAAUACCUAAUACAUCAUCUGAGACUGCACUCCUGUUAGAGUCAAGAGAUCAUCCGUUAUCGAAUGUUAUUGGAGAUCCAAGUGUUGGUGUGCGAACUAGAAGUCAACUUCAAUGUGAAUUUGCAUAUUAUGUUUCUCUAAUUGAGCCAAAGAAUAUUGACGAAGCUCUUCUGGGUGAAUAUUGGAUAAAUGUCAUGCAAGAAAAACUUGGGCAAUUCAUCCGCAAUGAUGUAUGGGAAUUAGUGCCACGCCCUGAGCAACAAAAUGUUAUUGGUACUAAAUAGAUUUUUAAAAAUAAGAAAAAUAAGGAUGGUACAAUUGUUCGAAACAAAGCUAGACUUGUUGCUCAAGGUUAUUCACAAAUUGAAGGGAUUGAUUUUGAUGAAACCUUCGCCCCGGUUGCCCGUCUCGAAUCUAUUCGUAUUUUGUUCGCGAUAGCUUGUCAUUUGAAAAUUACUCUUUAUCAAAUGGAUGUAAAAAGUGCAUUUCUGAAUGGUUUUCUAAAAGAGGAAGUUUAUGUGGAACAACCAAAAGGUUUUGUAGAUUCUAAAUUUCCAAAUCAUAUUUUUCGUCUUAAGAAAGCACUUUAUGGACUCGAACAAGCAUCGCGAGCAUGGUAUGAACGAUUAACAAAAUAUCUUUUAGAAAAGAGAUACAACUGAGGGGAAGCGGAUAGAACUUUUUUUGUAAAACACAAUAAAAAUGAUUUUGUUGUCGCACAAAUCUAUGUGGAUGACAUUGUCUUCGGGGCAACUAAAGAUACAGUUGCCACUGAAUUUGCUAAGUUGAUGACUAGUGAGUUCGAGAUGUCUAUGAUGGGUGAGCUCUCAUAUUUCCUUAGUCUUCAAGUUAAACAAUCAAAUGAAGGAAUUCAUUUGUCUCAAACCAAGUAUGCAAAGGAAUUGGUUAAAAAAUUUGGUUUGGAUGGAGCAAAGAACUUUGAUACACCGAUGGGAACAAGUAAUAAAGGACUUGGAGUGAAUGUUGAAGGACAAAGUGUGGAUGAGAAACAGUACAGGAGCAUAAUCGGCAGUUUACUGUAUUUGACCGCGAGUAGACCGGAUAUUGCUUUUAGUGUGGGAAUUUGUGCUCGCUAUCAAGCUAAUCCAAAAGAAGUUCAUUUGAAAGCGGUUAAGAGAAUCAUACGAUAUGUUAAAUGUACAACCGCUUAUGGUCUAUGGUAUCCUAUAGGGACAUCUUUGGACUUAAUCGGAUACUCGGAUGCUGACUGGGCUGGUUCUGCAGAUGAUCGGAAAAGCACUAGUGGAGCUUGUUUUUACCUUGGACAUUGUCUUGUUGCGUGGCAUAGUAAAAAACAAAAUUGUAUUGCACUCUCCACUGCUGAGGCGGAAUACAUUGCGGCCGGUAGUUGCUCUACACAAUUACUAUGGAUGAAAAGCUUAUUGAGUGAUUAUCGGAUCUCCUCCACCACUUUUACAAUUCUAUGCGACAACACGAGUGCCAUAAAUAUUUCAAAAAACCAUGUUUUACAUUCACGAACAAAGCAUAUUGAACUAAGAUAUCACCUUUUAAGAGAAUUGGUUGAAUCAACUAUUCUUCAACUUGAAUAUGUUUCAACUGAAAAUCAACUUGCGGAUAUUUUAACUAAGCCUUUGGAUCAAAAACGUUUUCUACAUUUAAGAAAGGCUAUUGGUAUGAAUCCUUCAAACUAGAUACAUUCUAUUGGGGCAUAGAUCAUGUGCAUGUUGCAUUUUGUUUCUGUGCAUAUUUUUGUUUGGUUUUUCCUGAUUAUUCUUGAGAGAUGAUUGAAUUUCAUGAAUGUUGUCGCUGUUUUUGGGAGAUAAAUUGGUUUUUGUUAGCUCUAUCAUAUGACUUUAAUUGUUUCAUAUUAUGUUUUGAUUGAUCACUGUCAUUGUUAUUCUCUAUUGUCAUAAUUUUUGAACGAUCAAAUCGUUGAAAUUCUGUUUAGUAUUUUGAAUUAAAUUCAACACCUCAUGUUUCGAACUUUGAACGUUGCAAUUGUUUAUUUGAUUAUUAGGUGUGAGAUGAAUAACUCUUUCUCUAUUUUUGAAAUUGCAAUAAUAUUUUUGAUUUGAGGGUUGCACUAAUUUAGGGGGAGUCUUUCGGACUAUGGUUAUGGAAAUAUCUUAAAUUCAAAAGAUAUGGAAAGAGUUACAUCCCUGCUGGGAGUGUGAAAACUACCACCACAUGAAGGAAAGAGCUACCACCCCGGUUGUCCGGUCAGUGUGUGCAGCUACCACAUGAUGAUCAAUAUAUCUCUAUGAGUUAACAGCCAAUAAAGAAUAAAUAAAUAUGAGAUGUUGUGGAGAUGGUAAAAUUCUAAUACUAUGUUUAAUACAUCUCCUAGGCGAUAUAAGGUGGUUUGUUAAAAGAUGCUCAAAGAGUCACUCCUAUCUCGAAUUAUGUGCAUAACUCAAAUUGAGAAUAUUCUUUUAAUUUCAUGAUUAUGUGAUUUAUUUAUUCAAUUUCUUAACAAAUAUGAUGAUAAAAUGAUACAAUUAAUCCUUAGAUCUUGCAUGAUGUGUGGAAUUUUAUUUGAUACUUAUCAAGAAUUUUAUUUGAUUUUCGGAUCAACAAUAUUUGACGAAUUGAAUAUCUUUGAGAUUGUUUUUCAAAAUUUAUUUAUGAAAUUUUAUUGGAAGUCUUUGGGGAUGGAUAUUUUGUAUUUUUGAUGUUGGAUAUGUUGAGGAUAUUACUUAAAAUUUUUGAAAAUUUUGGACGAAAAAUAAAUUUUUUGGUUUUGGCUCUGGGACCGGUCCCAGACUUGGAGAGACCGGUCCCUCCGCCCAGACCGAUAUAAGGGUUUUGCGAUCCGUUUCUUCUCACUUUACCAACUUCGUUCAAAUUUCUCUCCAGAGCCUCUGAUAUCCCUAGGGUGCUUUUGCUUCCAUUCUUCAUCAAUUUACACUUGAUUUUGAUAUGAUUCUCGGAUUUUAUUUCGUUGUUGUCUUAUAAUCCGAAUUUAUGCUUUAUUUUCAAUUUUUUGGGGAUUUGAUCUUAUUAUGUUGUUAUAUCUCUUCAUUUUUGCCCUGAUCUUACCUCUAGACAUGUUAGUUAGCAUUUUCAUGCAUUACUCCAUACUUUGUUACAAUUGUUUGGGUGUUUUUGCUAUGUUUUCCUCAUCUAAACCUAUUUUUUUUUAAUUUUUUCGAAAAUGGGACUUUCUUCAUUUUUGAUGCUUGAUUUGUCCAUGAUUUUCAUGGUUAUGUGGCCCUAGAAUUAUCUAGUACAUUACAUAUAAAUUUUCUAAAGUUUUUUUUUAAUCACAAAUCAAUUAUUUUUAUGUUCAAUAUGUAUAAAUUAUUGUGUUUAACAGGGGUUUCUUCGAAAAUGUACUCGUGGCUACUUGUUCUUUUGGUUCUUAUGGCUGGCGGUGGUCGUGGAAGUAAGCGACAGCGCUCAAAAGCUAAAAGGCCAAUUAAGUAUCAACCGGAGGAUGAAGAGAGCGAAUAUGCUCCUGGCGAUGAACCUGAGGAGGACGAGCCGGAUUGGGAGACUUUUGUUCCCGAGGUAUUGGCUAAGGAUAAGGAUACUGGGAAAGGCAAAGGAAAAGGAAAAGCCGUGGAUAAAGGCAAAGGAAAGGCAACUGAGCGUCCCAGUCGUCGUAAGUCCGGGGGUGUUGAAAUUCGAGAACCGGGCUCUGAACCACCACGUCACAGUCUACAGGAUGUUCCAUCUAAUCGACGGUCGAUGUACUCGUCGAAACACUGCAUUGGUGAGCGAGAUGUUGGGGUGGCCAGUAUCAUUAGUUGUGUGCCGGGUUUUCAGGAUUUAUUUGAACAGGGGAAUCUUCAUCAGAUUUGUGAUUUCCCGGAGCAAACCGGUUAUUGUUUGGAGUUGAUCAGAGAAUUUUACANUUACACCUAUUCACCCCCCUCUAGGUGUUAUUUACCUUUUAGAUCCUCGGGAUCCAUAUUUAACAACACAUUGUAACUUGAUCACUUUCAAUCAAAUACAAAGCUUGUACAUUUACUUUACAUUCAUUCUUCCAAUUUACGUAACCAUCUCCCAAAUGAAUUAAUUACAUUUCAUAUACAUUUUACAUUCAUCGACAUAAUAGAUGAAAUAUAC